GGGAAGCUGGGAACCACCUGGCGCCACUGCUGGCGCCGCCAGUUGCCGGAGGAGGCCCGGAAGAGGUGAGGCGGGGGCGCGGGCGGCAACGGUUCUUCUAGCGCCCGUUAUUGUAACGGGCCUAAUGUGACUAGUUAUCAAUAUUGUUGCUGUUAUUAUAGAUAUCGUCGCAGAAUAUAGGCUGUUCCCAGUAAAGCUGCUUUUUGUAAUUGACUGAUGGUGAUUUCUGUGGCCCCUAUGGUUGUUUUGGAAUUGCACCUAUGGCACCAAUUACCACUGGGAUUAUUUUGGUCUUUUUCUGCCAUAGCCUUUCAAUUUCAAUUUGUAGAUCUUUGUAUUUUGUGGUUUUUUCUAUUUCUUUUUCUUCUAUUCUGCUAUCCCCUGGUAUUGCUAUGUCGAUUAUUUUGACUUGUUUUUCUUUCUUCUCCACUACAGUUAUAUCUGGUGUAUUGUGUGGCAGAUGUUUGUCUGUUUGUUAUUAUUUCUUGUUUACACAGUCAGGCAGGUAUUAUUGACUGGUUUGUUUUAUCCAGACAUCGAGUCCUUCCCAAGGACCUGGGAUGGCUGAAUUUUAUUAUCAAUAUUGUUGCUGUUAUUAUAGAUAUCGUCAGAGGCGUAACGAUGGGGGAGGCAGGCAGGGCACGUGCCCUGGGCGCCACUUGAGGUGGGGGCGCAAAGUGCCUGCCAUGCCCCACCCCCACUUGCACAAAUUUUUAUAAUUUUUUUUUUUAAAAAAAUUGAGUCCAAGCGGCGGCGGCGGCGGCGCCCCUCCCCCUCCCGCUGAGUCAGCGCAGGCACCCCUGCGACUCACCAGUCACAAGAUCUGUCCGGGUGGGGCGGCGCUAUCUCCCAUUGGCUCCUGGCGAGCAGAGAGAGUGUGCGCCGCGUGGCUGGACGAUGACGAGGAGCACAGCGCGCUGCCCUCCUAUGAUGUGUGCUGCUGCCUCUGCCGCUGCAGCGCAGCCGGCUUGGCUGGCUGCUGAGCAAGGAGGGAUGAUGGGAGCAACAACAACAGGCAAAGCUGUGCCUGUGCUUCUGUUUACUACUACUACUUAGUCCCCUUUGCUAAGCCGUGGAGGGCGAGGCGGCAAGAAGCGGGGGUCUGCUGAGUGUGCUCGCAGGGCCGGCUCUCUCUUCAGUUCUGGGCUUCUUCGGCUGCAGUAGUGCUACGCGGAGAAUCGGGUCAUCAUUCACACAUUGAGAGAACAACAAAUAAAGUGUGUGCAGCAGCAUCCAGUGUCUUAUGCAUUCCAGUCACUUCUCCAGCCACUACAAGUGAUCAUCUGUCAAUUCACUGGUGCCUGAACAGUAUGAAGUGUUGCCACCUGCUGUAGAAAUGAUGAAAAUUUCUCUGAAGAAAUAGAAGUACAAGAGCAGCAUGAAGACCUUCAAGACUCACCUGUUCUCACAGGCUUUUAAUUAAUUAGAAUUAAUUUUAAUAAUUGGUUUAAAUAAUUGUUUUAUGCUACUGUUUUUAUUUCUCUUUUAUGCUACUGUUCAUUUCAUGUAUUUUAAUCUGUG